rnacentral:rRNA from 2 species
CUCUCUUUGUUGAGUAAUAUAUAAAGAGUUGGGCCUGCUCGGUGGACAUAAAGUUUUAACAGCUGCGGUAUUUUAACUGUACUAAGGUAGCAUAAUAAUUUGCCUUAUAAUUUGAGGCUAGAAUGAAUGGUUUGACGAAGGUUAAUCUGUCUCUAUUUUAUUUUUUAGAAUUUAAUUUUAAAGUGAAAAAGCUUUAAUUUUUUAAAGGGACGAGAAGACCCUAUUGAGCUUGUAAUUUUAUUGAUAUUAUACAUAUUUAUUUGUGUAAUGUUAUAUAAAUUUUAGUUGGGGUGAUUAAGGAAUAAAAGUGGUUGUAACUUCCUUAGGAUUAAUGUUGUUAGAUAAAGUAACCAAUUUUUUAUUGCUUUUAUUAUAGUUACCAUAGGGAUAACAGCGUAAUUUAUUUAGAGAGUUCUUAUUGAAAAAUAGGAUUGCGACCUCGAUGUUGGAUUAAAGUGACCUUAAGGUGAAGAAGCUUUAAUAUAGGUAAAUCUGUUCGAUUUUUAAAACUUUACA